rnacentral:rRNA from 1 species
CUCUCCUGGCUUUAUAUCGGGGGUAGGCCCUGCCCGGUGCUGCAGAAGCAGUAAACGGCGGCCUUAGCGUGAGGGUCCUAAGGUAGCAUGGUAAGUCGGCCUUUAAUUGGGGUCUGGUAUGAAUGGGUUGACGUCGGGUAAGCUGUCUCGCAAAGUAUUUUCUAAAUUAACUUUAAGGUGAAGAGGCCUUAAUAAUAAAAAAAGACGACAAGACCCUAUGAAGCUUCAUCAUAUUGGCUUACAGGUGUUCAGGCACCUGUGGGUUUUUUCGAAUUUGGUGGGAAGCCCAUGGCGAGAAUGUGUUGCCAGUUUAAUAAUUUACUGACAAGUAAAAAGCAUUACAUGAUCAGAACGGUAAGUUACUCUAGGGAUAACAGCGCGAUCUUCUUCGAUAGAACAUAUUGGAAAGAGGGUUUGCGACCUCGAUGUUGGCUUUAGGUUACCUAGAGGUGUAGAGGCUUCUAAGUGUGGGUCUGUUCGACCUUUAAUUCCUA